AACACCUGUAUUCUGGAUUGGCAGCAGAAGUUCUACGAAAAUGUAGAAGCAUGAGUGAAUUAAAACUUACAAGUUUCUCUACUAAAGUCAAUUCAUUCGUUAUUCAGUUCCAAGUCAUUUCACCUAAUAGUUCCACAUUUACAUUUCUUUUUAAGUCGUGUCUGGUUUGGGGCUGAUGGUUUUGUUCAGAAUACUGUUUUGGAUUUCUACUCAAUGUGUGGUGAGAAUGUGGGUAGUGUGCAUUGAAAGUGUUUGAAGAAAUGAGUGACAGAGAUGUUGUUUCUUGGAAUUACGUGGUUUGUGCUUAUACGAAUCAUGGUGAGGCGAAGUUGACCGUUGAGUUGUUUAAGUCUAUGGAAGAGAGAAAUGGAGUCGGCAAGGUGGUUGUUUGAAGAGUUGAUAAAUUGGAUUGCUGUGAUGAAGAAUGCUUGAUAAUGAAGUAGCUUGGAAUGCUAUGAUUUCUGAUUAUAUAAGGAAUGGUGAUGUGAAGAAUGCAAGGUUGAUUUUUAUCAAAUGCCGUGAAAUCUGUAGUUUCCUGUACUGCUAUGAUUUCAGGAUACACUAAAGUUGCUGAUAUCGGAGAUGAACAGCCUUUUCUAUUCAAUGUCAGUUAAGAAUGCAAUGGUUGGGGUUCUGUUCAGAAUCAUAAAUUUGAUCAAGCAUUGGAAGUUUUCCAUAGAAUUUUGAUGGGUGGUGAAUGUAAGCCGGAUGAGACUACUCUUUUGAGUGUUCUCUCCGCAUGUACUCACCUAGGUGCUCACGAACAAGGAAAAUGGAUCAAGUCUUAUAUUCAAAAGCUGGAUAUUGAAAUUUCUAAUUCAUUAGGGGAUGCCUUGAUAGACAUGUUUGCAAAAUGUGGUGAUCUUGAAAGCGCAAUGUCAAUGUUCAUUCAGAUGAGAAAUAAGUGAAUUGUCACAUGACAUGGACAUCAAUGGUUGCAGGCUUAGCCUUUAAUGGGCAGUUGAUAGAAGCUUUAACUCUCUUCGAUGAGAUGUGCGUGGAAAGAAUACAACCAGAUGAUGUCAUCUUCAUUGAUGUACUCUCCGCUUGCACUCAUGGGGACUGGUUGAAGAAGGAAAACGAGUUUUUAGUCAAAUGGUGCAACAGUUCAAUAUUGUUCCUUGAAUUGAGCAUUAUGGAUGCAUGAUUGAUCUUCUUAGUCGAGCAGGGAAAUUAGAGGAAGCAUACCCGUUAAUUACGAGUAUUGUCAAUGAAGCCAAAUGCCGCUCUUUGGGCUACUUUACUUGGUUUUUGUAAAUUGUAUGGACAAAGAGAGAUGUUAGAGGUUGUGGCAAAGAAUAUCCUCGAACUGGAGCCGUCAAAUCCUGCUUAUUUAAUAAUGCUGAUUUCAAAUUUGAAUGCAUCAUGUCGGCCGGUGGGAGCUUAAGGGUUAGAGAAGCAAUGAAGAAGGGUAUAGCAGCUCAAUGCAAGUGGAGCAUAGACAUCAAACAUGAAAAUAGGAUGGAGAUCUUUGAAACUUUACAUUCUCUCUAUGAUCAUUUGAAAACAGUAGGAAUUAUGGAAAAGAGAGAAAAUGUGCUUCUUGGUAUGGCUUAAUACACAGGGUUCAUAUGAGGAUUACUUGAGCAGAUAGAUGGUGGCAUGGUGCUAAAAGAUAUUGUUCAACUGGAAAGAAGUAUUUCUGCUUGAUCUCGAAACAGCUACUUCAGACUUCAGAGAUGAAGAAAUUUUUCACGAAUGGGAUAUUAGUGGUUAAAGAAAUUUUCUUUGAAAUUUCCCCAGAAAUAUAAUUUACAACUGCUAACCAAGAGUGCUCCAUGGUUUAGUAGACAAGUUUACUGAAGAGAUAGAAACUUCAAGGUAGACCUAAAAGAAGAAAAAGACUGCCAGACAGCUGAGCGAGGUUGUUGACAUGUUGACCCGUACCCUACAUACUUCUGAAGAACGCCUUCAGCUCUUUCUUUCGGUCAUAAUCAGCAGGGGUUCUUUACGUCACAAUGUCAAUUUUUGGUGAUUCUUGAACGGUCCAUCUCAGACGUUGACUCAUCAUCUUCAACGUCUUCCGUAAGAUGCUUUGCUAAGGAGUGAAAUUUGGUAAUCCCGACUAUUAAAUGUGUCAAAAUGAUACUCAACUGUGAUGGUUUGUUUGCUACAUGGUCCCACUUUGAAGUUGACGGAAUUCCAUGGUUCACCAAUCUAAAGAAACCCCAAGUCCCGGAUGCACGUCGAACUUCAUCAAUAUUUUCCUUGUGUCGGUGACGGUCAUCUUGGUCCACGCUUUCCAUAUCAUCACAGGAAUCUCG